CCAGCAAAUUCUAAUGCUGGAAAUGCAGUAAGUGAUAGCUGCUUUAGAUUCUUGAUGGGUGAUGGUGGGGAGAACUUGUGGGAGAAUUAUGGCUUUAAGCUUAGUAAAGGAGAUCAAAACCAGUAAGCCAUAACUCUCACUGACAGUUUGUUUAGUUGGUCUACUAAGCAGGAUCCAAGGAGAUGAUGAUGUGAAGGGAAGAAAUUGACUCGUUAAAAGAGGUACAGGAAUUGACACAGAUGGGACCUUAUUGCAGUCUGUAAGCAAAGGAGAGCUGACUUAGGAUUUAUAUAUUGGGAUUGGUGUUUAUCGUUUUAAUGGGUAUUAUUAAUUAUAUGCAGAUCAUUUAAGAUUGAAAAAAAUAAUGGGUCUUUAUCUUUUCAUGAGGAUGAGGAGGAGGAAAGAGAGCUUGGAAUGUUGCUAGCUGGUAGCAGUGUUGGGCUCUCAUCUUAACAAUUUUCUUUUGAGGUUCUCCAAUUUGUGCUAAGAUUUCCUUGUGCAUGCAAUUGCACUAUUCUGGUAGUUGAUCUUCUACCUGCUGC
rnacentral:misc_RNA from 1 species